rnacentral:lncRNA from 1 species
AUUUUAUCAAGGUCUGAUUUACCUGACAACUCAUUUUGGUUUUGGGUGAACAGGUUCCUGCUGUUUUAUCAAGGGCUGAUUUACCUGACGACUCAUUUCAGUUUUGGGUGAACAGGUUCCUGCUAUUUUAUCGAGGGCUGAUUUACCUGACGACUCAUCUCACUCUUGCUGCUUCCAGGACUCCCAGUUUCCCUUUGAUUGUUUGACUACAGUGUGUGCAGAUGGGAGUUCCCCUGCACAAGCUCUCUUACCUACCACCAUGUGAGAUGUGACUUUGCUCCUCCAUCGCCUUCCACCAUGACCAUGAGGCUUCCGCAGCCAUGUGAAACUGAUUUUGAAUAUAUCAUCCAGCUCCUUCCUGGCCUAUAAAGUUUCUGGAAAAAGAAAAUCCAUGGAUAUCUUACACGAUUUUCUAGUUAAGCUGAUAAGCAACUUCAUCAAAGUCUCAGGAUACAAAAUCAAUGUACAAAAAUCACAAGCAUUCUUAUACACCAAUAACAGACAAACACAGAGCCAAAUCAUGAGUGAACUCCCAUUCACA